rnacentral:rRNA from 1 species
UACGGGGGGGGCAAGCGUUGUUCGGAAUUACUGGGCGUAAAGGGUUCGUAGGUGGCCUGCUAAGUCAGACGUGAAAUCCCUCAGCUCAACUGGGGAACUGCGUCUGAGACUGGUGGGCUUGAGUGCAGGAGAGGAACGCGGAAUUCCAGGUGUAGCGGUGAAAUGCGUAGAUAUCUGGAGGAACACCGGUGGCGAAGGCGGCGUUCUGGACUGCUACUGACACUGAUGAACGAAAGCCAGGGGAGCAAACGGG